rnacentral:rRNA from 1 species
CCUACGGGGGGCAGCAGUGGGGAAUCUUGCACAAUGGGGGAAACCCUGAUGCAGCAACGCCGCGUGAAUGAAGAAGGUUUUCGGAUUGUAAACUUCUGUUCUUAGUGAAGAAUAAUUACGUUAGCUAAGGAGCAAGCCACGGCUAACUACUUUCCAUCAGCCACGGUAAUACGUAGGUGGCAAGCGUUGUCCGGAAUUACUGGGUGUAAAGUGUGCGCAGGCGGGAAGACAAGUCAGCUGUGAACACGAAGGGCUUAACUUGUAGAGUGCAGUUGAAACUGGUUUUCUUGAGUGAAGUAGAGGUUAGUGGAAUUCCGAGUGUAGCGGUGAAAUGCGUAGAUAUUUGGAGGAACACCGGUGGCGAAGGCGGCUAACUGGGCUUUAACUGACGCUGAGGUUCGAAAGUGUGGGGAGCAAACAGGAUUAGAUACCCCUGUAGUC